ACCGGCGUGUAAUGACGCCUUUUCUUCGGAACACCGGUGACAGGUGGUGCAUGGUUGUCGUCAGCUCGUGUCGUGAGAUGUUGGGUUAAGUCCCGCAACGAGCGCAACCCUUAUCUUCAGUAGCCAGCAUUUUGGAUGGGCACUCUGGAGAGACUGCCAGGGAUAACCUGGAGGAAGGUGGGGAUGACGUCAAAUCAUCAUGCCCCUUAUGAGCAGGGCUACACACGUGCUACAAUGGCGUAAACAAAGGGAAGCGAGCCUGCGAGGGUAAGCAAAUCUCAAAAAUAACGUCUCAGUUCGGAUUGUAGUCUGCAACUCGACUACAUGAAGCUGGAAUCGCUAGUAAUCGCGAAUCAGCAUGUCGCGGUGAAUACGUUCCCGGGUCUUGUACACACCGCCCGUCACACCAUGGGAGUUGGUAACGCCCGAAGUCAGUGACCCAACCGUAAGGAGGGAGCUGCCGAAGGUGGGACCGAUAACUGGGGUGAAGUCGUAACAAGGUAGCCGUAUCGGAAGGUGCGGCUGGAUCACCUCCUUUCUAAGGAA
rnacentral:rRNA from 1 species